rnacentral:tRNA from 4 species
GGGCUGUUAGCUCAGCUGGGAGAGCACCUGCCUUGCACGCAGGGGGUCAGCGGUUCGAUCCCGCUACGGUCCACCA